rnacentral:rRNA from 1 species
UACAGAGGGUGCGAGCGUUAAUCGGAAUUAUUGGGCGUAAAGGGUGCGUAGGUGGUUUGAUAAGUUAGGUGUGAAAUACCCGGGCUCAACCUGGGUGCUGCAUUUAAUACUGUUGAGCUGGAGUAUGGGAGAGGCAUGUGGAAUUUCCGGUGUAGCGGUGAAAUGCGUAGAUAUCGGAAGGAACAUCGGUGGCGAAGGCGGCUUGCUGGACUGAUACUGACACUGAGGCACGAGAGCAUGGGGAGCAAACAGG